rnacentral:misc_RNA from 1 species
GUUCAGGUUCAAAAUAUGUAAAACUUAAUCUCUUGGGUUGGUUUUGUUUUAAGUAAAGCUGAUCUGAGAAGUAAAGCUCACUUGUAAUUUUACGCUUUGCUGAACAUUGUUAUUUUGUAUCGCCUAAAAAAAUACACACACACACUUUCACCCUCGUGCAAUCCUUGAUUUUCAAACCCUCUGUUAAUCUGAAUUUCAUCUGCUUGAUCUUCAGAGACUUGCAGUUCUAUCCCUCUCUCUCAGCGUCCCCAUCUGCAUUGGUACUCCCUAACCACCCUCUUCAGAUUUAAUAUGGAGAAACUAUCAACACCAGCAAACCAUUUUUGCAUGUAUGGACUUACUAGAGAGGAAACUAUCAUAUUAAAAAAUGAAACUAUCAGCACUUGCUUUCUUUCCAACUUCCGGUUUUCACUGAAAUACCUUGGUUAGUUGGCCCAUGCAUUUUCUUUCCUUUUUUUUUUUCCCAGUUCUCUUUCCAUUUGUCUAUGCAUCUCUACAAGGGAUUUUGGUUGCAUGCUCAACUUGUUUUACUUCAAUUUAUGAAAUUGAUUUUUGCUCGAGUGAAUGUGUUUUUAAUUUAUUACUGUGGCUUUUAAAUUUUGAUUACAAUUGGCCUUCUCUUAAUUUGGGUUAUGAUGAA